rnacentral:lncRNA from 10 species
GUCUGGAGGGCGCUUCCGGCCGGCGGCCCUCGGGAUGCGCUUCGCUGUUCUCUAGGAGGUACCAACCUCUGGCGGUGGGUCUUGCGUCCCGGCGGAAAGCUCCGAGGAGUCCUGUAGACUUGUGGCUCGGGUGGAGCCGGCGGAAAACCCCGAGAAGCUUGAGACAGCCGUGGCUGAGGUGGAGCCGGCGUCGCUGCCCUGGAGCGUGGGCGAGUUUCCUCUUAGCCGGAGCUUCAGGGAUUGACUCAAAGACUCCUCCGCUUUUUUAGUUGUUUUGGGUGUGAAUACAGCCCGGACUAAACCUUAGUCGCCUAGACUAAACCUUAGCCUCCCAGGCUGCCAAAACAGCACAGCUUUUACAGAUGACUCUUACAUCACCAUCCCUACUCUGUGAUACUGUGUUUUUCAAAGUUUAGUGCCUGAACCAUCAGCAUGAAAUCUGCCUGAGACGGUUGUUGAAAAUUCACAUCGCUGGGCCUUGCGGCAGGAUGCCUCUUGAAGCCCAAGUGGAAGCCAACAGAAGAGGGGUCCAUGUGUACAGAUAGGCCUGGAGUGAUCCAUGUUCCAACAGCAGUCCCUUUAACCUCACUUGAAUGUGGAGGCUGCACAGGUCACAAGUCUGAAGACUACAAGCUACCUUUGCUUAAAAGGAACCACACCACCGCUGAUAGCUAACUGCUAGAUUGUUCUCCAGCAUAUCAGAGCUACAUUGAAUUGCUUGAGUUGUGCUUCAAUUAAUGUAGAGAUCUUCACUGAAUCGCACAUAACCAUUGAAGUAACCUGCUGUUUACAGUCUCUAUCAUGCUCUGCCAAGAGAGUUAUUUUACAGUGACAAAACUUCUCUUCUGGUGCCCUGACACAUCCUAGGACUUUGAUGUUGGUAAUUCUUUCCCCUCAGCAAAUGUUGGUUCUAAAUCCACAGAACUACUUGAGAAACUAGAUGCAAAAUUGUAGUAGGUUUAAACUAUCAAUACUCUUUUUUUUUUUUUUUUUUUUUUUUGAGACAGAGUCUCUCGCUCUGUCACCCAGGCUGGAGUGCAGUGGCGCGAUCUCGGCUCACUGCAAGCUCCGCCUCCCGGAUUCACACCAUUUGCCUGCCUCAGCCUCCCGAGUAGCUGGGACUACAGGCGCCCACCACCACGCCUGGGUAAUUUUUUGUAUUUUUUAGUAGAGACGGGGUUUCACCGUGUUAGCCAUGAUGGUCUCGAUCUCCUGACCUCUUGAUCUGCCCGCCUCGGCCUCCCAAAGUGCUGGGAUUACAGGCGUGAGCCACUGCACCCGGCCUAUCAAUAUUCUUUAUAUGUUUUGCUAUUCCCAUUUAAAAGAGGGAAACUGUAGCUAUACACUUUCUAGUCAUGUUCUUUGGUGAUUUUCCUGCACAAACCAACACUGUUGUUCAGAAAUAUAAUUUCCCCUAGAAUUACCCUCCAUCCAAAACAUAUUGUUAUUCUAUCACAGAGAUAAAUAAUGGCUUUCCAAAUCCUGGUUAAAAAAACCAAACACUCUCUUCUUCUCUGUAUUUUUACAGAACAGGCAUAGAUGAUGGCAAUUGUGUUUUACCAUCUUUUUUUUUUUUCUGAGAUGUUAGUUUUCUAGGAUAUGGAAAUCUUAGGAUUCAUAAAAAGUGAAACAACUUUUUGAAAUGUUAGUUUUCCAAAAUUGGACAAUCUUUUUGAGCCAUUCUAUUUUUAGGACUAUUGGUUAGCUGACUUUAGAGCCUUUAAUGUUUCCUUAUUAUUUCAAACAAUAGAGAACUUUCUUCCCCCCCACGUUUUGAGACAGGGUCUGGCUCUGUCACGCAGGAGGCUGUCUGUAGUGCAGCGGCACAGUCUCAGCUCACUGCAACCUCCGCCUCUUGGGCUCAAGUGAUCCUUCCACCUCAGCCUCCUGAGUAGCUGGGACUGUAGGUGCAGGCCACCACAUCUGGCUAAUUUUAAACAAUAGAGAACUUCCAAAACAAAAGUUCUUUAUUAAUUCUUCAAGAAAUCUGUUUUUUACUUAGUCAAUUAAUGUCCAUUUCAUGUUGCCUCAAUAGCCCAUGUAUGAAUCACUCUUCUUGCAGAUUUUGUUCAGUUUUGUUGUAUGUAGACCCAUCUUUCUUUGAUUGAGUUGGUUUCUUUGAUUGAGUUGAUUUGUCUGUAUUAUAUAUCAGUCAGUAUUAAAACCCAAACAAUACCUAAGCCAAAAAAGCAAGGUAGGCACCUGUGAACUCACACACUUGGUUGCAAUUGCUUCAGUAAAAAGGACAGUUUACACUCAAAUUGAAGCAACCAUUAUGUUUCCACAAACAACAUUCCUUAUUAUCCCACCUCACCUUUUCAUUCUUCCUAUGCUGUCUAAUCUGAUUCGGUACAAGAGAUAAGGCAGGUACUGCUAAAUGAUAACUUAGAUGCAGGGGCCAUCAUGAAAAUAUUCAUCCCAUAUCUUACAUUAAGCAAACUACUAGCAACUGUUUGUUGAAAAGUAUAAAUGAAUAAAUGAAAAUAGGACAGAUAGGCAGUGUGGGAAGCUAAAAUAUGGAAGUGUUAUUGCUUUGCUUUAUGUGGUAUAAUGAUCUGACUUUAUCUUCCCAGCUCUCCCAGGAAGUAUGCAGAAUAAUAUUUAUCUCAUAUUGUGGAUGUGGCAAUCAAGACAGAGAGGCUAGAUGCUUUACCUAAAGUCAUCCAACAAAUAUUUGGUAGAACCAGUGCUAGAAUGCAAUAAAUGGAAACAGAGUUUAUUUUUGUGUUUCUUUUCCUAAUACUUGCCCUAUUCCUGACAAAUGAAUAAUGGCUUCAGAAGGUGUCACUUGUUGCUAGGGCUAAAAGGAUAAAUUUUACCUGUAAUACCGUACCACUUACUAUUAGUUAACGACCCAGUAUUUAUUCUCUUUUUUUCUUUGGAAUCUUUGGAAUGUGUAAAUAUUUGCCUCCCGGGAAGCUCACUUUAUCCUCUCCUCAGGAAAAAAUCCUGAUUUGGUCUGAACCAAUCUUGGUAACUAUCUUUCUUGCCAGUUUUGUUUUAGGAAUGGGCACGCAACUCAGUUCUAGCCAAUGAGAUAUGAGGAGCAGUCUACUGGGGAGUUUCUGGGAAAGUUUGUUUUUCUUGUCCUAAUAAGCAAACAAGUAAUGGGGUCACUGGAUUGGAGAUCCUAUUGAGUCAAAGGAAUAUUGAAUUUGACACAGUAAAAUAGUCUGGAAGGAAAGGAAAUGAUAUUCAGUAAAUGAAAUGCUGAAAAUUGAUAUUAUGAAGGUGGCACAGUAGUUGUUAUUGAUUAAAUGAAACAGUUGAGAUUAAGAAAGUUUAGCCAGGACAAGUUGUAUAGCACAAAUCAUUUCAGGUAAGGAAGUUAAAAAAAAAACCCUGAGAGGCUAGGAAGUCCUGGCUCCAAACUUCUGCUCCUGCUGGACUUGAGCCCCACUAGCUUCUCAUCUUCCACUAAUCUAUGCACCCCUCCUUUCCCACUCCUCAAAAGCCGAGCUCACUCAACAACUUUAAUUUUAUUCAAAUAAAUUAUUUACACAGACAUUUUGUUUUUAGUAGAUGUUAUUAGUGAUUAGGAAAAAUGAAAGAGAUUGACAUCAUUCUCAAUGGGGAAAAAUUUCAAGCUUUUCCACUAAAAUCAGAAGCCAUGGAUGCCUGUGUUUGCCACUUCUAUUCAACAUAGUAUUGGCAGUUCUA